GAGCCGGGGCCGGAGCCAGGGCUGGGAAGGCAGGCCGUAUCCGAGAGGCGCCCCUUCCAUCCUGCCUGCAUACCCCGCAUCCUGCCACAUCUCCCCGGUUACCCCCUCCGCAUCCUCCCGCUGGUCCAGGCUCAAACGCAGGGCCCCGCGGCCCUAGGGCUUUAGGGGGCAGAAUGACGGAAGAGAGAGAAGGCUCAGUCUCGCCGAUUGAUGUUUUCGAUUUAGAGAAAGAAAAGCCGCCUGGGCCAGGCUUGGUGGAAGACUAUGGGUUUGGAAGGCAGCAUGCACCAUCAGAUUCUGCUGAUUUGUUAGUUUUGCUGAAUUCAUUUCUCCUUUAAUAGUGCUUUUUACAAGUCUAGAUUGUCUGUCGAAGGGAGAAUGGGAGGGAUCUAUCUGGAAAUGAAGGUGAUG